GGCAGGCGGGGCUUAUAAUGCAAGUCGUGCGGACCUUUUAAAAAGCUUGCUUUUAAAAGGUUAGCGGCGGACGGGUGAGUAACACGUGGGCAACCUGCCUGUAAGAUCGGGAUAACGCCGGGAAACCGGGGCUAAUACCGGAUAGUUUUUUCCUCCGCAUGGAGGAAAAAGGAAAGACGGCUUCUGCUGUCACUUACAGAUGGGCCCGCGGCGCAUUAGCUAGUUGGUGGGGUAACGGCUCACCAAGGCAACGAUGCGUAGCCGACCUGAGAGGGUGAUCGGCCACAUUGGGACUGAGACACGGCCCAAACUCCUACGGGAGGCAGCAGUAGGGAAUCUUCCGCAAUGGACGAAAGUCUGACGGAGCAACGCCGCGUGAGUGAAGAAGGCCUUCGGGUCGUAAAACUCUGUUGCCGGGGAAGAACAAGUGCCGUUCGAACAGGGCGGCGCCUUGACGGUACCCGGCCAGAAAGCCACGGCUAACUACGUGCCAGCAGCCGCGGUAAUACGUAGGUGGCAAGCGUUGUCCGGAAUUAUUGGGCGUAAAGCGCGCGCAGGCGGCUUCUUAAGUCUGAUGUGAAAUCUUGCGGCUCAACCGCAAGCGGUCAUUGGAAACUGGGAGGCUUGAGUGCAGAAGAGGAGAGUGGAAUUCCACGUGUAGCGGUGAAAUGCGUAGAGAUGUGGAGGAACACCAGUGGCGAAGGCGGCUCUCUGGUCUGUAACUGACGCUGAGGCGCGAAAGCGUGGGGAGCAAACAGGAUUAGAUACCCUGGUAGUCCACGCCGUAAACGAUGAGUGCUAAGUGUUAGAGGGUUUCCGCCCUUUAGUGCUGCAGCUAACGCAUUAAGCACUCCGCCUGGGGAGUACGGCCGCAAGGCUGAAACUCAAAGGAAUUGACGGGGGCCCGCACAAGCGGUGGAGCAUGUGGGUUUAAUUCGAAGCAACGCGAAGAACCUUACCAGGUCUUGACAUCCUCUGAUCCUCCCUGGAGACAGGGCCUUCCCCUUCGGGGGACAGAGUGACAGGUGUGCAUGGCUGUCGUCAGCUCGUGUCGUGAGAUGUUGGGUUAGUCCCGCACGAGCGCACCCUUGACCUUAGUGCCAGCAUUCAGUUGGGCACCUCUAGGUGACUGCCGGUGACAACCCGGAGAAGGUGGGGAUGACGUCAAUCAUCAUGCCCCUUAUGACUUGGCUACCACGUGCUCAAUGCAUGUACAAAGGGCUGCCGGAGAACCGCGCGAGGGGUUAAGAGUCU
rnacentral:rRNA from 1 species